rnacentral:rRNA from 1 species
UGCGUAGGGUGCAAGCGUUUAAUCGGAAUUACUGGGCGUAAAGCGUGCGCAGGCGGUUUUGUAAGUCUGUCGUGAAAGCCCCGGGCUCAACCUGGGAAUUGCGAUGGAGACUGCAAGGCUUGAAUCUGGCAGAGGGGGGUAGAAUUCCACGUGUAGCAGUGAAAUGCGUAGAGAUGUGGAGGAACACCGAUGGCGAAGGCAGCCCCCUGGGUCAAGAUUGACGCUCAUGCACGAAAGCGUGGGGAGCAAACAGG